UGUACUGUUGCUUUCCAGCUCUACAGAACUGUGUGUUUCGUUUUGUAUUUGUUGUUUUUCGGUGUCAUCAAUCAAAAGAAAGAUGUACGCCUACCACGCUGCACCUCGGUCCAAUCCAUCUUUAAACGAACGUGACAGUACCUUUAUUCCUAGUUAGUGGAGCUCCAGCCUACCAGCGACACCACCCUGAACCCUAGGAGCUACCACAGCAGCCGGCUCUCCCUGGAGGACAAAGCACUUCCCGCUGGCGGGGAGGGGAAGUUCCGUGAUGGGAAAAAGAGCAUAGGGACAGAUUAUGAGGAGAACUGGCAGGACGUGAUGGACAGCACCAGUGAGUCCACACACCUUGAGGAUGACGAGGAUUAGGAGUCCCUCCAGUCCAUCUAUGAGGAGGAGGAAGAAGGGUCGGUGGUGGUAAUGCACAUACAAAUAAGAAGAAGAAGAAGAAGAAGAGGCAGGAUGUGAAGGGGACCUCGACUGAGAGCCCAUCCCCAUACCUGCAGGAGUUCCAUAGUUUACCGAAGAGACUGGUUCCCUCUGAGAUCAAACACUGUCUGUAUGAACUUGAGAUGAGUGACAGAGACAGAGAGGAACUGGGUUGCAAAACCAGACAUUGGGUUCAAGUACUAUUAUGUUUUUCAAAUGCUUUGUUUGAUAGAGCCUGUCUGGAGUGUCAGGUGACAGUGUUUUGCACUUUUCGGGACUAUUUCAUUGGUUAUAUUAUGCCAGGCAAACUCAUUAGAGUGCAGCUAACGUUUUUGAAAGACAACAAAUACUAUUUUAACUCUGUCUGGUUAAACAAUGAACAAGAACUGACAAGAAGAAAAAGAGGAAAUGUUGAUACUUUUAACCUCAACAAAAUGCUGACAGAUUUAUGAUCAUUUGGAGAUGUGUGUUCUCCACUAACUCCUCUUUCAGUUCCUAGUGCUGGCAUCUUGCCAGGUUUCUCUCAGAAAAGAUUCAUGAAAUGAAGACUGCAACCAGACACCAUCCUUAGUGAUCAAGAGCAAAUUGCCCGCUGUGUACACCACAUCCCUUCAACAUGGAAACUUGGGUCUUAUUUGGUUGAGACGUUUGCUGAAAUUCAAAUGUUGGUUGUGCUUUCAACCAUCUGAAAGCACAACCAAAUUAAAGUGGAAAAACAAUGUCUGAUAUUUGGUUUAGUUGUCAUCUAAAUGUGUUAUCACUGCGCUUUCAACCAAUUAAAAGCACAAGAAAGCUCAAUUGGGAAUAUCAUGUCAGAUAUUUUAUAUUUAUACAACAAGUUAACGUGUUAUCACUGUGCUUCAUCAAAUAGCAAAAACAAAUGAUCUGGAUUUCAGUUGAGAUUAAAUCAAAUCAAUUGUUAUUCAUCACAUGCUUCGUAAGUAAGAGGUGUGGACAAAUAGUGAAAUGCUUACUUACGGGCCCUUCCCAACAAUGCAGAGUGAAAGAAAAUAGAUACAUAAUAAGUAAAACACGUAAUAAUAAAAGCAAAAAUAGAUACAUAAUGAGUAAUGAUAACUUGACUAUAUACAAGGGGUAACAUGCAGGGAAACAAGGGGUAACAUAACUAGGAAUAAAGUCACUGACUGAUAAAGAGAGAGAAGGAGCAAUUGAAGAUAUGGCCAGUUGGAAAUGAUUUACAGAUGGGCUUGAAGGAAGGGGGAGGGGAGAAAAAGAAGUUGAGGCAACAGAUGAGAGCAAAUUGCAUGGGAAGGAAAGCAAGAGAACAGUCAUGGUGAAAGGGGUCACCUGUGGGAGAGGCUUCUGAGGAAGAGAGAGGAGAGAAAACAGCAGACAUUUUUAGUCUGUUGUUAUUUCAGCCUUUCCAAUAUUAUCAUCAUCUCCAUUUCAGAGGAGUUCCCUUCCUAUUGCUAGCAAAAAAAAAAAUAAAGAGUGUUAUUAGUCUUAUUAGUGUUGUUUUAGUGUCUCCUUUAUGCAACCAAAUGAAAUGGUGAUU